GACGAACGCUGGCGGCGUGCUUAACACAUGCAAGUCGAACGGAAAGGCCCUGCUUUUGUGGGGUGCUCGAGUGGCGAACGGGUGAGUAACACGUGAGUAACCUGCCCUUGACUUUGGGAUAACUUCAGGAAACUGGGGCUAAUACCGGAUAGGAGCUCCUGCUGCAUGGUGGGGGUUGGAAAGUUUCGGCGGUUGGGGAUGGACUCGCGGCUUAUCAGCUUGUUGGUGGGGUAGUGGCUUACCAAGGCUUUGACGGGUAGCCGGCCUGAGAGGGUGACCGGCCACAUUGGGCCUGAGAUACGGCCCAGACUCCUACGGGAGGCAGCAGUGGGGAAUAUUGCACAAUGGGCGGAAGCCUGAGGCAGCAACGCCGCGUGCGGGAUGACGGCCUUCGGGUUGUAAACCGCUUUCGCCUGUGACGAAGCGUGAGUGACGGUAAUGGGUAAAGAAGCACCGGCUAACUACGUG
rnacentral:rRNA from 1 species